rnacentral:rRNA from 1 species
AACGAACGUUAGCGGCGCGCCUAACACAUGCAAGUCGCACGAGAAAGGGCUUCGGCCCCGGUACAGUGGCGCACGGGUGAGUAACACGUGGGUAAUCUGCCUUCGAGCGGGGGAUAACAUUCCGAAAGGAGUGCUAAUACCGCAUAAGACCACGGCUUCGAAAGAAGCAGCGGUCAAAGCUGGCCUCUAUACAUAAGCUAGCACUCGAGGAUGAGCCCGCGGCGCAUCAGCUAGUUGGUGAGGUAAUGGCUAACCAAGGCGAAGACGCGUAGCUGGUCUGAGAGGAUGAUCAGCCACACUGGAACUGAGACACGGUCCAGACUCCUACGGGAGGCAGCAGUGGGGAAUCUUGCGCAAUGGGCGAAAGCCUGACGCAGCGACGCCGCGUGAGUGAUGAGGGCCUUCGGGUUGUAAAGCUCUGUGGGGAGAGACGAAUAAGUGCAGGCUAAUACCCUGCAUGAUGACGGUAUCUCCUUAGCAAGCACCGGCUAACUCUGUGCCAGCAGCCGCGGUAAGAC